rnacentral:piRNA from 1 species
UCAAAUUAAAUGGUAAACAGAAGGC